AUAUAAUUGGUGACUCAUAAUAACUUUACGGAUCACAAUUAAUGUGACAUAUCAUUCAAGUUUCUGACCUAUCAGCUUUAGACGGUAGGGUAUUGGCCUACCGUGGCAAUGACGGGUAACGGGGAAUUAGGGUUCGAUUCCGGAGAGGGAGCCUGAGAAACGGCUACCACAUCUAAGGAAGGCAGCAGGCGCGCAAAUUGCCCAAUCCUAAUACAGGGAGGUAGUGACAAGAAAUAACAAUACAGGACUUUAUGGUUUUGUAAUUGGAAUGAGUUAAGUAUAAACCCCUUUACAGGUAUCAAUUGGAGGGCAAGUCUGGUGCCAGCAGCCGCGGUAAUUCCAGCUCCAAUAGCGUAUAUUAAAGUUGUUGCAGUUAAAAAGCUCGUAGUUGGAUUUCCGUUAAUAAUUUAUAUAAAAUAUUUUGAUGAAUAUUUAUAUAAUAUUAACAUAAUUCAUAUUACUAUUUUUUUUAGUAUAUGAAAUUUUACUUUGAGAAAAUUAGAGUGCUUAAAGCAGGCAUAUGCCUUGAAUACUCCAGCAUGGAAUAAUAUUAAAGAUUUUUAUCUUUCUUAUUGGUUCUAAGAUAAGAAUAAUGAUUAAUAGGGACAGUUGGGGGCAUUUGUAUUUAACAGUCAGAGGUGAAAUUCUUAGAUUUGUUAAAGACAAACUAAUGCGAAAGCAUUUGCCAAGGAUGUUUUCAUUAAUCAAGAACGAAAGUUAGGGGAUCGAAGACGAUCAGAUACCGUCGUAGUCUUAACCAUAAACUAUGCCAACUAG
rnacentral:rRNA from 1 species